rnacentral:rRNA from 1 species
UAGGGAAUCUUCCGCAAUGGGCGAAAGCCUGACGGAGCAACGCCGCGUGAGUGAUGAAGGUCUUCGGAUCGUAAAACUCUGUUAUUAGGGAAGAACAAAUGUGUAAGUAACUAUGCACGUCUUGACGGUACCUAAUCAGAAAGCCACGGCUAACUACGUGCCAGCAGCCGCGGUAAUACGUAGGUGGCAAGCGUUAUCCGGAAUUAUUGGGCGUAAAGCGCGCGUAGGCGGUUUUUUAAGUCUGAUGUGAAAGCCCACGGCUCAACCGUGGAGGGUCAUUGGAAACUGGAAAGCUUGAGUGCCGAAGAGGAAAGUGGAAUUCCAUGUGUGGCGAUGAAUUGCGAAGAGAUAAGGAGGAACACCAGUGGCGAAGGCGACUUUCUGGUCUGUAACUGACGCUAAUGUGCAAAAGCGUGGGGAUCAGACAGG